rnacentral:rRNA from 1 species
UACGGAGGGUGCAAGCGUUAUCCGGAUUCACUGGGUUUAAAGGGUGCGUAGGUGGGUUGGUAAGUCAGUGGUGAAAUCUCCAGGCUUAACUUGGAAACUGCCAUUGAUACUAUCAAUCUUGAAUACCGUGGAGGUCAGCGGAAUAUGUCAUGUAGCGGUGAAAUGCUUAGAUAUGACAUAGAACACCAAUUGCGAAGGCAGCUGGCUACACGAAUAUUGACACUGAUGCACGAAAGCGUGGGGAUCAAACAGGAUUAG